CCGUGGCGGCUAGGGCUUCCCAUU
rnacentral:snRNA from 1 species